rnacentral:rRNA from 1 species
AUGGCAGAGAGGUCACACCCGUUCCCAUACCGAACACGGAAGUUAAGCUCUCUAGCGCCGAUGGUAGUUGGGACCUUGUCCCUGUGAGAGUAGGACGUUGCC